UACGGAGGGUGCAAGCGUUAUCCGGAUUUACUGGGUUUAAAGGGUGCGUAGGCGGGCAGGUAAGUCCGUGGUGAAAUCCCUGAGCUUAACUCAGAAACUGCCAUGGAUACUAUUUGUCUUGAAUAUUGUGGAGGUAAGCGGAAUAUGUCAUGUAGCGGUGAAAUGCUUAGAUAUGACAUAGAACACCAAUUGCGAAGGCAGCUUACUACACAGUUAUUGACGCUGAGGCACGAAAGCGUGGGGAUCAAACAGG
rnacentral:rRNA from 1 species